GGAAGUAAAAGUCGUAACAAGGUCUCCGUUGGUGAACCAGCGGAGGGAUCAUUACAGAGUUGAAAAACUCCCAAACCACUGUGAACAUACCCGUAACCGUUGCUUCGGCGGGCGGCCCCAGGGAGGGGCCGCAGCCUCCAUUGCGGAGGCGCCCGCCGGAGGACACCAAAACAUACCUAUAUUUUUGUGGCCCUUCUGAGCGAUAGCGCAAAUAAUCAAAACUUUCAACAACGGAUCUCUUGGUUCUGGCAUCGAUGAAGAACGCAGCGAAAUGCGAUAAGUAAUGUGAAUUGCAGACUUCAGUGAAUCAUCGAAUCUUUGAACGCACAUUGCGCCCGCCAGCAUUCUGGCGGGCAUGCCUGUCCGAGCGUCAUUUCAACCCUCAAGCUCUGCUUGGUGUUGGGGCACUACGGUUGACGUAGGCCCUGAAAAUUAGUGGCGGGCUCGCUGUGGGUCCGGGCGUAGUAGCGAUAUCUCGCCUGCGGCCCCCAGCAAGCUCCAGCCGUUAAACCCCCCAAAUUACAGAAGGUUGACCUCGGAUCAGGUAGGACUACCCGCUGAACUUAAGCAUAUCAAUAAGCGGAGGA
rnacentral:rRNA from 1 species